UACGGAGGGUGCUAGCGUUGUUCGGAAUCACUGGGCGUAAAGGGCGCGUAGGCGGCCCUCCUUGUCGCGUGUGAAAGCCCCGGGCUCAACCUGGGAACGGCGCGCGAGACGGGGGGGCUGGAGUUCGGGAGAGGAGCGUGGAAUUCCCAGUGUAGAGGUGAAAUUCGUAGAUAUUGGGAAGAACACCGGUGGCGAAGGCGGCGCUCUGGACCGAGACUGACGCUGAGGCGCGAAAGCGUGGGGAGCAAACAGG
rnacentral:rRNA from 1 species